GUCUAUGUCCAUGCCACUCUGAAUAACCUUGAUGUCUGAUCUCGGAAGCUAAGCAGGGUCAGGCCUAGUUAAUACUUGGUUGGGAGACCACCUUGGAAGACCAGGUGCUGUAGGCA
rnacentral:rRNA from 1 species